rfam:Sulfuritalea hydrogenivorans sk43H DNA, complete genome.
CGGGGCGUGGCGCAGCCUGGUAGCGCACUUGCAUGGGGUGCAAGGGGUCGCGAGUUCGAAUCCCGCCGCCCCGA